UAGGGAAUAUUAGAAAUGGACGAAAGUCUGAUCUAGCAACACCGCGUGUGCGAAGAAGGCCUUCGGGUCGUAAAGCACUUUUUGGAAGGAAUAGGAAGGAAUGUACUUCCAGAAUAAGUCUCGGCUAACUACGUGCCAGCAGCCGCGGUAACACGUAGGAGGCGAACGUUAUCCGGAUUUACUGGGCGUAAAGCGCGUGUAGGUGGUACUGUAAGUAGGGCGUGAAAGCUCCUGGCUCAACUGGGAGAGGCCGUUCUAAACUACAGAACUAGAGGAUGGUAGAGGGAGGUGGAAUUCCAGGUGUAGCGGUGGAAUGCGCAGAUAUCUGGAGGAACACCGGUGGCGAAGGCGGCCUCCUGGACCAUUCCUGACACUCAGACGCGAAAGCUAGGGUAGCAAACG
rnacentral:rRNA from 1 species